rnacentral:rRNA from 1 species
UACAGAGGUCUCAAGCGUUGUUCGGAUUCAUUGGGCGUAAAGGGUGCGUAGGCGGGUCUUUAAGUCAGGGGUGAAAUCCUGGAGCUCAACUCCAGAACUGCCUUUGAUACUGAGGAUCUUGAGUUCGGGAGAGGUGAGUGGAACUGCGAGUGUAGAGGUGAAAUUCGUAGAUAUUCGCAAGAACACCAGUGGCGAAGGCGGCUCACUGGCCCGAUACUGACGCUGAGGCACGAAAGCGUGGGGAGCAAACAGG